rnacentral:rRNA from 1 species
CAGCCGCCGCGGGAAUACAGAGGAUGCAAGCGUUAUCCGGAAUGAUUGGGCGUAAAGCGUCUGUAGGUGGCUCUUCAAGUCCGCCGUCAAAUCCCCGGGCUCAACCUGGGAAUGGCGCUUGUGACUGCAAAGCUAGAGUGCGGCAGAGGGGGAUGGAAUUCCGCGUGUAGCAGUGAAAUGCGUAGAUAUGCGGAGGAACACCGAUGGCGAAGGCAAUCCCCUGGGCCUGCACUGACGCUCAUGCACGAAAGCGUGGGGAGCAAACAGGAUUAGAUACCCGAGUAGUCCCUGUCUCUUAUAC